rnacentral:rRNA from 1 species
UACGUAGGGACCAAGCGUUGUUCGGAUUUACUGGGCGUAAAGGGCGCGUAGGCGGCAAUUCAAGUCAUCUGUGAAAUCUCCGGGCUUAACCCGGAACGGUCAGGUGAUACUGUUUUGCUAGAGUGCGGAAGGGGCAAUCGGAAUUCUCGGUGUAGCGGUGAAAUGCGUAGAUAUCGAGAGGAACACCAGAGGUGAAGACGGGUUGCUGGGCCGACACUGACGCUGACAGCGCGAAAGCCAGGGAGCAAACGGG